rnacentral:lncRNA from 1 species
AUUGAUAUCAGUUAAAUAAAUAUCACAAUUUUAUUUUUAUUUAUUUUUAAUUAAAGAGGGCUCAACGACCCAUUUUUUCAUUAAUGUAAAGCAGAUUAUUACAGUGCCCAAAAUCCAAAAGAAAAAAACUUAAUAUAAAACUAAAGAAAAGGAAAGAAAUAAGAAAAGACACAACAAGAAAAUGUCUGGUAAUGUGAAAAUCCAUCAGAUCUGUGCUCUCCUGGUUGGUUUCUUCCAACCUCAGCACAUCCAAAUGGAACCCCAUUGGAGGUGUGAGCUCUCAUAAUUCUUCAAGAUUAUUACUUCUGGUAUUUGAGGUACAGCAAAGCACUACAAUAUCAUGUCAGCCCCCAAUUCUCAGAGAUAUGAUUUAUAGCCAAGUUAGACCAGGUAUUGUAUCCAACUUUUCGUUCCAUAUGUAUCAUCCUAUCUAUUUCUCAAACUUAUGUAGCUUAUGUAAAUAUGCCAUGAGACCCUUAAUUCCGACCAUAAGUUGAGAAAAUUGUGUUUUGCUACUAUCAAUCAUGAUUUCUUUCCCUUUCUAGAUCCCGAUGGGUUGAGUCUCAAGAGACUAAUACCACCAUCUGAGAUAAAAGAUUGGGUGAGAAAGUCACAACUUUUAGUAGCUGAAAAUCAUGUGAACUUUUGCAGAUUACAAAGAAAAAUUGGAGUCAUCAGCUUACCUUCCAUCAAAACUAAUGUCCUGAUUUGGUAUUAGGCGAACACCUCAAUGCUCUCACCAGAUGCAAAUACUCAAACCAUUACGAAAUUACUUCAGACAAUAGUUAACGAAUUUAGAUACUAACAACCAAUUCCCUUUUAUUUCUACCAGAACUUGUAAUCUUCAUAAAUAUGUUAUCAGUGUAUUGAUUUAAUCUACUAGUCUUCUUCUAAUGUGAGGAGUGCCACUCUUGUCCAAGUUUAGAAUUCUCUGCCCUUCCAUAGGAAUGUCUUGGAAAUGGCUAAAUUGAUAAUUACCUGCAAGAUCAAAAACUAGGUUAGCAAAAUAAUCAUCUAGAGUAUUUCCUUCUCGAAAGAUAUGUUGUACUCUCGCUGAUAAUGAUCUCCUCAAAUAGCUUAUGGAAUUGACCUCUAGUGUCACACUCUAAGGGACAUCCCACCUCCCUUCCAAGAUCUGUACCAUGGCCAUAGAAUCAGUUUCAAUAAUGACAUGUGAUAAAUGAUGCUCCUUACAAAAAAACAAUCCUUCUCUAAUAGCUCUAGCUUCAGCUACCAAAUUAGAGGUAUCUUGUAUCUUGAAUCCUUUAGCCACCAUCAAUGAGCCAGAGUAAUCUCUUAUUCAAAAGGCCGCAGAGCUAGGUCCUGGAUUACCCCUAGAUGCACCAUCUGUAUUGCAUUUCACCCAAUUAGUAGGGAGAGGGAUCCAUCUCACAAUGUUAAUGCUAUAGUUAUUUCUAUGCCCCUGUAAAUUAGUAAUGAUAUCCGGCCAACUGUUCCUUCCUAUAUCUCUUUCGAACCUUAUUUUAAUCACCUUCAGAAUAUUGUCAUUAAUCUCCCAAAUGACCUUUCUUUCUGAGAAUGAGCCACCAUGUAAAAUAGUGUUCCUUCUCCUCCACAAACACCACAAAAUGACAAUGGGUGAUUAUCUUCUAAAUUGGAUAUCAUAAUCCAUAAAUAUUAAUUUGUACAAUAAUUUUAUAAAUAAUUAAUAAAAUAUAAAAUUUACUAAGCAUCAAUUUUUAUACUAAUUUUUAUAGUCAUUAUACACAUUACAUAUAAAACAUGUUUAUAUAUAACUGAUAUAAAAAGAUUAAGUAAACCAAUUUGUAUAUUUAUUCCAUACAUAUUAUUUAUAUAUAUCCAUUCUAUAUACAUAUAUAGUUUCCGAUUAUAUAUUGUUUACGCUCCAAACGUGAACAUACCAUAUUAUAUAUCAAUUCCAUAUAAUGCAUAAUUAAAAAAAUCUCUGAUACCUAUUUUAAGACCAAAUGAAUAUGUUAAGAACUCAACAUAAAUAUCAAUUAGUGUAUUUAACGGGUAUAUAAAUUGGUUAACAAUGGUAGAUUAAGCUAAAACAUGAAAAUCAAAUUUAAUACAGUUUUCAUAUAUUAAUAAAAUUUUACUAACAUACAAAUUUGUUGGGCAUCAUUUUUCAUACAUAAUUAGAUACAAUUGGUGGCCUUCAUCUUCACUGAUGCAGAUCUCUCUCAAGUCUCCAACAAGGGUUCAUGAAAAAAUCAAGAAUGACUUGAAGAAGGAAAAAAAUAUUGAAAUAUAGUUAAAGAAUCACUAGUUGAAACUAACUCACAAUUAGUAUUGCUACAAUGGAGAGAAGAUUCACAUGAAUUUCAUCAUGGUUGUGAAUUUUUUUUAAAAAAAAUUAAGGAGAGAUGUUUGAAAUUUCAAGUACUAUUACGAAUUAUUACCUUUUAUGGAGGC